rnacentral:misc_RNA from 1 species
UAUUUACAUAGGGAUAUCUUCUCAUCCCCAACACAAAUAUCUACAUUUACAUAGCGAACGCGAACCCUUCAAAUCAAUGAAUCGAGUUCUAGGAUGUCGCAUGCCCCUAUGAAAAACAAAUGGGCAGAACUCUAUUGUACCGUAACUGCAUGAAACCUAACAAAAUGAAGUGCUGCAAGGAAAAUGUAAAGAAUCUGUCAUGUUUUGUUCUUGAGCUUUCAGAUCUACCACAAUAACGGUUAUGUUGUCUUUGCUUCCUUUUUGAAGAGC